rnacentral:rRNA from 1 species
CAGUAGCCACGGUAAUACGUAGGUGGCAAGCGUUGUCCGGAAUUAUUGGGCGUAAAGCGCGCGCAGGUGGUUUAAUAAGUCUGAUGUGAAAGCCCACGGCUCAACCGUGGAGGGUCAUUGGAAACUGUUAAACUUGAGUGCAGGAGAGAAAAGUGGAAUUCCUAGUGUAGCGGUGAAAUGCGUAGAGAUUAGGAGGAACACCAGUGGCGAAGGCGGCUUUUUGGCCUGUAACUGACACUGAGGCGCGGAAGCGUGGGGAGCAAACAGGAUUAGAUACCCCCGUAUCCCUGUCUCUUAUACA